AUAUUUGGGUGCGACACGAAGCCAAACCAUCUCCAUUGCACUCCGGAUGUGCUGACCCCUGCGACUUCUGCAAGUGUGGGACACACGACUGCAUCAUUUGUGGUAGUGGGCACUGCAUUCAUACUUUCCCCUG
ensembl:snRNA U1 U1 spliceosomal RNA